UCUGGUUGAUCCUGCCAGUAGUCAUAUGCUUGUCUCAAAGAUUAAGCCAUGCAUGUCUAAGUAUAAAUAGUAUACAGUGAAACUGCGAAUGGCUCAUUAAAACAGUUAUAGUUUAUUUGAUAAUUGACAAUUACAUGGAUAACCGUGGUAAUUCUAGAGCUAAUACAUGCUUAAACGCCCGACUUUAUGGAAGGGUGGUAUUUAUUAGACUGAAGCCAAUAUUCCUUGUGUCUAUUGCGGUGAUUCAUAAUAACUGAUCGAAUCUCUUUUUGAGAUAAAUCAUUCAAGUUUCUGCCCUAUCAGCUUUCGAUGGUAGUGUAUUGGACUACCAUGGCAGUAACGGGUAACGAAGAAUUAGGGUUCGAUUUCGGAGAGGGAGCAUGAGAAACGGCUACCACAUCUAAGGAAGGCAGCAGGCGCGUAAAUUACCCAAUCCUGACUCAGGGAGGUAGUGACAAGAAAUAGCAAACCGGGAACCUCAUGGUUUCACGGUAUUGCAAUGAGAACAAUUUAAAACCCUUAGCGAGAAUCAAGUGGAGGACAAGUCUGGUGCCAGCACCCGCGGUAAUUCCAGCUCCACUAGCGUAUAUUAAAGUUGUUGCAGUUAAAAAGCUCGUAGUUGAACCUCUGUCUGGGGCUAGUUUUGGCUUUGGUCAGGCUAGUUCUAGGCAUCCGCCUACAAGACUUAGAGGGCAUUCAGUUGUUCACUAGGAGGAGUAGGCAUUUUACUUUGAAAAAAAUUAGAGUGUUUAAGGCAGGCAAUCGCCCGCAUAUAUUAGCAUGGAAUAAUAGAAUAGGACACUUUUCCAUUUCGUUGGUUAUUGGAAUCGUGUAAUGAUUAAUAGGGACAGUUGUGGGCAUUUGUAUUUAAUUGUCAGAGGUGAAAUUCUUGGAUUUAUUAAAGACAAACUAACGCGAAAGCAUUUGCCAAGGAUGUUUUCAUUAAUCAAGAACGAAAGUUAGGGGAUCAAAGACGAUCAGAUACCGUCCUAGUCUUAACUAUAAACUAUUCCGACUCAAUGUUUGACUGGCUUAUAUAACCAGUUGAGCGUUGUAUGAGAAAUCAAAGUCUUUAGGUUAGGGGGGAGUAUGGUUGCAAAGCUGAAACUUAAAGGAAUUGACGGAAGAGCACAACCAGGAGUGGAUUCUGCGGCUUAAUUUGACUCAACACGGGGAAACUUACCAGGUUAAAACAAUAGUGGGAUUGACAGUUUGAGAGCGCUUUCUUGAUUGGUUGGGUGGUGGUGCAUGGCCGUUCUUAGUUGGUGGAGUGAUUUGUCUGCUUAAUUGCGUUAACGAACGAGACCUUAACCUGCUUACUAGACUGGC
rnacentral:rRNA from 1 species